AAAGUCGUAACAAGGUUUCCGUAGGUGAACCUGCGGAAGGAUCAUUACAGUGUUAGGCUUCGGCCUCAUUCACACCCCUUGUUUAACCUCUGGUUUCUUUGGCGAUGUCAUGGACUCGUCAAACUUAACUCUGAUAAUGUGGUACUGUCCGAGUGAUAUUGAAUUAUCAAAACUUUCAACAACGGAUCUCUUGGUUCUG
rnacentral:misc_RNA from 1 species